CCCGGGCCUCCAGGUAAAAGAGGCUUUAAAGGCAGAGGAGGAGCAUCAGGGCUGCUAGGUAAUGUUGGACCAGUGGGGCCCCCUGGAUUUCCUGGAACCACAGGUUAUGAUGGAAUCAUUGGGGAGAAUGGUAAGCAGGGAAAAGAUGGGCCAAAGGGUGGCAGAGGUCCUAGCGGUGGGCCAGGCGUUGUUGGACCAAGAGGUGAUAAGGUACUAGAA